AUCUGCGACUGAAACAUCCACUAUUAGUGCAGCAGAAACAUGUACAUCAACAGAGAUAUCCACAAUCCCAAUAAUUCCUGCUAAAACAUCCACUAUCAAUGUAGAAGAAACAUCUACAACAACGGAGACUUCCACAAUAACAACUCCUGCGGAAACUUCCACCACUAGUGUUGCAGAACAAUCUUCAACAAUAGAGACUUCCUCACUCACAACAACUGAGGCUGAAAUAUCAAUUACUAGUGCUUCAGAAACAUCUACAACGACAGAGACUUCCACAUUCAAAACUACUGCUGAAAUAUCCACUACUAGUGUAGCAGAAUCAUCUACAACAGUGGAGCCAGUAUAUGAAGUGAAUAUUAAGCUGGAAUUCCGCUCUAAAGAUUCUUUCAUAGAUGACCUCAAUGAUCGACAGUCUCCUGCUUUCAAAAACAGGGCUAUGCUUGUUCAGGAUAUUCUUACACUUAAGUUCAAGAAGUUCCAUUCCUUCCUUAGAGUCACUGUGCUACUAUUCAGCAAGGGAUCGGUCAUUACCACAUCAGAACUUGCUUUCAACUCUACACAGACUGUGCCAUCAGAACUCCAAAUUGCAGAAGAAUUACUGAGUGAUGAUACAACAAUCAAUGCCCUGAGCAUAACUUCAUUUUCAGUUAAUAAUACAGAAUACCUAUCAACAACAACAACUCCUGCUACAACAUCUAAAGCAACAACAGAGCUGUCCACAAUCACAACUACUGCAACUGAAACAUCCACUACUAGUGCAGCAGAAACAUCUACAACAGCGGAUACUUCCUCAAUCACAAUAUCUACUGC